rnacentral:lncRNA from 1 species
GAGCAAGGUAAUUUUAUUGUUUGAAGCUGUAUUACUAUAUCAUACAGCUUGUAGGCCAAAUUGUAUGCUCAUUUUGUGCUUAUAUGCAAAGAUAUCAAACUAAUUCUAAUGAAUCACAUUUAAUUGAUAUCAAAAGACUCAUAAAAAUCUGUUAAGAUAAUAAAACUAAGUAAGAACUCCAAUCUUAAGUAAAAGCAAAACAAGCAAAAUAUAUUCAGCACAUUUGUAAGAAUUAUGUGAGCAUUCCUUUGGAAGGGAUAAAAUCUGUAAUAAACUAUAUUUAAACAGGAAGAGUUUGGAGUGAACAUUUUUAAAGGGAACGGUUUAACCUUUCUAUAUUGCUCAUUAUAGGGAUGGACGGAUGGUGCCAAUGAGAAGGCUAGUGGUAGUACCCGGCACUAUUUGACCCAACUAUUCGGUGUAGGGCAUAUUAGGGACGGCACAAGAGGGAGGCUAGUGGUAGUUCCUCGUGCCCCUUCCAACUCCACCGGAUAGGGAGCAAAUAGAGUAUAGAGCAUAGAAAAGUAAAACCAAAAGAAAUGAAAAUCAGAAUGUUCACUGAGUGGUUAAAGGAAGAAAUUCAAAAAUGAGAAAAUGAAUGACAAGAUAAAUGAAAGUAUAUAAGAAGCUUGUGAAAAGCCAAAUGAAGUUUCGAUCACUUG